rnacentral:sRNA from 1 species
GCCUGGUAUGGUGGCGCACGCCUGCAAUCCCAGUGGCUCAGGAGGCUGAGGCAGGAGGAUGGCGAGUUCAAAGUCAGCGAGGUGCUGAGCAACUCAGUGAGACCCUGUCUCUA